rnacentral:rRNA from 1 species
UACGGAGGGUGCAAGCGUUGUUCGGAAUUACUGGGCGUAAAGGGCGCGUAGGCGGCCACCGCAAGUCGUCUGUGAAAUCUCCGGGCUUAACCCGGAAAGGUCAGCCGAUACUGCGGGGCUAGAGUGCAGAAGGGGCAACUGGAAUUCUCGGUGUAGCGGUGAAAUGCGUAGAUAUCGAGAGGAACACCUGCGGCGAAGGCGGGUUGCUGGGCUGACACUGACGCUGAGGCGCGAAAGCUAGGGGAGCGAACGGG